rnacentral:snRNA from 1 species
UAACUCUGGUGUCUCCUCAUUUGCAGAUACAUCUUUCGCCUCUUACUAAAGAUUUCCGUGGGGAGGCACAAUACAAUGCGUCUUAUCUCAGUUUUUUCCAACUCCGUCUUUGCACGGAGUA